AACGCACGAGACCUGCGGACCUGCGGAGGGAUCAUUACCGAGUUUCCGCAAACUCCCAAACCCACCGCGAACCUUACCUCUCGUUGCUUCGGCGGGUCAGCCCCGGGCCCAGCGCGGCCCGGAACCAGGCCCCCGCCGGAGGCCCCACGAAACUCCAUCUUCCCGAGCGGCCCCCUGGCGGGCGCGGAAAAAAACGAAGAAGAAACCCCCGAAAGGGGAAAAAAUGAAUCAAAACUUUCA
rnacentral:misc_RNA from 1 species